rnacentral:rRNA from 1 species
UACGAAGGGUGCAAGCGUUGUUCGGAAUUAUUGGGCGUAAAGGGCGCGUAGGCGGUUCGGCAAGUCUCUAGUGAAAUCUCAGGGCUCAACUCUGAGUCUGCUGGGGAAACUGCCGGGCUUGAGUGUGGGAGAGGAGAGUGGAAUUCCCGGUGUAGCGGUGAAAUGUGUAGAUAUCGGGAGGAACACCUGUGGCGAAAGCGGCUCUCUGGACCACAACUGACGCUGAGGUGCGAAAGCGUGGGGAGCAAACAGG